CAAGAAUUUUCUAGAAAUUUUAGGAACCUCCUAGAAUUUUCUGGAACGUUCUGAAAUUUUCUAGAAUUUUCUAAAAUUUUCUAGAACGAUCUAGGAUUAAAAAUUUUUUUUUUAAAUUUCA
ensembl:ncRNA Y17D7C.7 ncRNA